UACAGAGGUGCCAAGCGUUAGGCGGAAUCACUGGGCUUAAAGCGCGUGUAGGUGGGUCGUUAAGUGUCCGCGUGAAAUCCCACGGCUCAACCGUGGAACUGCCGGGCAUACUGGCGAUCUUGAGGCAUUCAGGGGCGAGCGGAACAAAUGGUGGAGCGGUGAAAUGCGUAGAUAUCGUUUGGAACGCCAAUGGUGAAAACAGGUUGCUGGGAGUGCGCUGACGCUGAGACACGAAAGCCAGGGGAGCGAACGGG
rnacentral:rRNA from 1 species